UACGUAGGGGGCUAGCGUUGUCCGGAAUCAUUGGGCGUAAAGCGCGCGUAGGCGGCCCGGUAAGUCCGCUGUGAAAGUCGGGGGCUCAACCCUCGGAAGCCGGUGGAUACUGUCGGGCUCGAGUACGGAAGAGGCGAGUGGAAUUCCCAGUGUAGAGGUGAAAUUCGUAGAUAUUGGGAAGAACACCGGUGGCGAAGGCGGCUCACUGGCUCAUUACUGACGCUCAGGCGCGACAGCGUGGGGAUCAAACAGG
rnacentral:rRNA from 1 species